rnacentral:rRNA from 1 species
CAGUAGCCACGGUAAUACAGAGGGUGCGAGCGUUAAUCGGAUUUACUGGGCGUAAAGCGUGCGUAGGCGGCUAAUUGAGUCGGAUGUGAAAUCCCCGAGCUUAACUUGGGAAUUGCAUUCGAUACUGGUUAGCUAGAGUGUGGGAGAGGAUGGUAGAAUUCCAGGUGUAGCGGUGAAAUGCGUAGAGAUCUGGAGGAAUACCGAUGGCGAAGGCAGCCAUCUGGCCUAACACUGACGCUGAGGUACGAAAGCAUGGGGAGCAAACAGGAUUAGAUACCCCAGUAGUCCCUGUCUCUUAUAU